rnacentral:rRNA from 1 species
AACGAACGCUGGCGGCAUGCCUAACACAUGCAAGUCGAACGAGAUCUUCGGGUCUAGUGGCGCACGGGUGCGUAACGCGUGGGAAUCUGCCCUUUGGUUCGGAAUAACAGUUGGAAACGACUGCUAAUACCGGAUGAUGACUAAAGUCCUAAGAUUUAACGCCAGAGGAUGAGCGCGCGUAGGAUUAGCUAGUUGGUGUGGUAAAGGGGCACCAAGGCGACGAUCCUUAGCUGGUCUGAGAGGAUGAUCAGCCACACUGGGACUGAGACACGGCCCAGAGUCCUACGUGAGGCAGCAGUGGGGAAUAUUGGACAAUGGGCGAAAGCCUGAUCCAGCAAUGCCGCGUGAGGGAUGAAGGCCUUAGGGUUGUAAAGCUCUUUUACCUGGGAUGAUAAUGACAGUACCGGGAGAAUAAGCUCCGGCUAACUCCGUGCCAGCCGCCGCGGUAA